rnacentral:rRNA from 1 species
GACGAACGCUGGCGGCGUGCCUAAUACAUGCAAGUCGAGCGGACCUUGUUAGUAGCUUGCUACUAACUGGGUUAGCGGCGGACGGGUGAGUAACACGUAGGCAACCUGCCCUUAAGAUCGGGAUAACAUUCGGAAACGGAUGCUAAGACCGGAUAAACAAUUUGGCUGCAUGGCCGGAUUGGGAAACGCGGAGCAAUCUG